rnacentral:rRNA from 1 species
AUGGUCGCCGCGCAGGAGCCGAGGAAGGAGUGCCCGCCGGACCUCACGAGCGGGCUCUUCAGGGCCGACGACUUCUGCACCUACAGCCCCAAGCAACUGGACGGCGAAGAUAGGCUCAGUACCCUGACCGACGAUCUUUUACUGUCCAUCUUGGGGAGAGUCAGUUCACGUGUAGCUGCAAGGACAAGUGUGCUCUCUACACGGUGGAGGCAUCUUAGUUGGUGGCUGCCUGAGCUCAGCAUCAAUGUCAAGGAUGUCCUAUCUGCUCCGUGUGCUGACCCUAUUGAGGCAAAUGAUAUGGAACAAGCUAUGGCGUCUUUAACCAAAGCAACCAGGAGUUUGUUGGAUAAACAACAGAGAGAAUCCAGUAUCUCAAGUUUGCACCUUAACUUGAUCAGCAAUUUCCUUUGCGAAGUUGGCCAACUGAUAGGUGAUGCAAUCGACAGUGGUUUGUUGAAAGAUUUGGAUCUCACCAUUCUUGAUGAGAUAGAGCCUCUCGACUGUAGUGAGGAAGAGCUGCAACAGCGAGCUCAAGACAUAGAUGCUUUUUUCACUGCCUACCCUAGUGUGCUCCUCUGCCUCACAAAGCUCUCUCUAAAAAAUGUAGGCUUUGACAAAUUGGACAUGCACCAUCUCCUGUUUGACUGCUGCAAGCAACUGACGCAUCUAACUCUUCAUCAUUGUGAUACUGGUUCCUUCUCUCUCUUUAAGAUUGAUGCACCAGGCUCAAAACUCCGUGUUCUAGAAAUCGAGAAGUGUCGCUUUCUGAGAAUCGACCUGGUGUGCCUCCCGAAAUUAGAGAAGUUCUUAUGGGAGACCUGGGUAUCUCAGGUUGCCCCAUUGACCUUUGGUUUUGUCCCAUCUCUUGGGGAAUUAGAACUCUCAAGUGGUUCAAAUUGUGAUCAACGGUUAUUUAGAUUAAGUGAACUUCUACAUGGAGUAACAAGCAUACAUACUCUCACAUUGGAUUUCCAAGGAGAAACCCUUUGGGUGCAAGCUGAAAUGGAGGAACUUCGCACCGCAUUCAGCAAACUAAGGAAGCUGUUCGUACGUGGUAUAUUUGUUGAAUUUGACAUUUCAUGGACGACAGCCUUUCUUGUAGCAGCACCAUCUAUCGAAAUGUUGCAUAUUGAGGUAUGGGAACAUACAUGCGAUGUGGGCGAGGCCAGACCUGCUUCCUACCAUGACAGAAAGAGUCCUCGGUGGGAAAUGCACUUGGACAGCAGCUCCCAGAACAGGCUUCUAAAAGAGCUAGAAUUUGCUGGAUUUAAAUCACUCGAACAACAGUUUACAUUUAUAAGAUCCAUGUUGGAGCGAUGUCCCAACUUGCAGAAGAUAGUUCUGAGAGAUGAGGAGCAGUGCGAUGACUGCGACACCCUUAAGGUACCUCGUCCUUCGAGAUUUCCAAGGAAGGAAGAUGAGCAAGAAAUGGUGGUUAAGCGGAUUAGAGAUGAAAUGUUUGUUGAUGGUCUUAGCCAGGACGCUAUAUGGCUACAUGGUGCAUUAAGUGUGUGCUUUGUGCUAAUUUUUCUUUUUCUUUUUUUGCUUCCAUAA